AUUGAACGCUGGCGGCAUGCCUUACACAUGCAAGUCGAACGGUAACGGGCCUUCGGGUGCCGACGAGUGGCGAACGGGUGAGUAAUGUAUCGGAACGUACCUUUCAGUGGGGGAUAACGUAGCGAAAGUUACGCUAAUACCGCAUAUUCUGUGAGCAGGAAAGCAGGGGAUCGCAAGACCUUGCGCUGAUUGAGCGGCCGAUAUCAGAUUAGCUAGUUGAUGAGGUAAAGGCUCACCAAGGCGACGAUCUGUAGCGGGUCUGAGAGGAUGAUCCGCCACACUGGAGCUGAGACACGGUCCAGACUCCGACGGGAGGCAGCAGUGGGGAAUUUUGGACAAUGGGGGCAACCCUGAUCCAGCCAUGCCGCGUGAGUGAAGAAGGCCUUCGGGUUGUAAAGCUCUUUCGGCCGGGAAGAAAUCGUAUCAGCUAAUACCUGGUGCGGAUGACGGUACCGGCAUAAGAAGCACCGGCUAACUACGUGCCAGCCGCCGCGGUAAAAC
rnacentral:rRNA from 1 species